rnacentral:piRNA from 2 species
CCCGAUGCCGACGCUCAUCAGACCCCA